GGGCAAGGACACCCCCAGCUCCAACUGCUCCCUGAACUACUUCCAGCUGGGGCUCAGAGAGCGGCUGUGCGAGGCCAAGAGCCACCAGGCACCAGAGGCAGGAGGUGACUGCAAGGACAGGAGGGCAGAGCUGGUGGUGCUGAAGAGCAUGGAGGAGAAGAACUUCAUUGGGGCCAUGAGCAAAGAAAUACCAGGGAGCUGGACGGGGCUCAGCACCAUCCCAACUCAGGGCGAGGAGUGGACAUGGAUGGAUGGAUCCCCUUUGCAGGAUGAUUUGCUGCAGGUGAUGGGGGAAAAGAGGGUGAAUGCCUGUGCGGCGAUAUUGAAGGGGCAGCUCCGCUCCCACUCGUGCAGCGUGCCGUUGCAUUGGAUUUGCCAGAAAGAGGCCACCAAGAUUUAAGCACAGCUUCAACUGAGGGAGCCACGACAAGGCACAAAUGGGAUGGGACACGGCACCAGGAUGCCCAAAAGGAGCUCCAGAGCUUCGAGGCUGGUGGCU
rnacentral:lncRNA from 1 species